GAUGAACGUUGGCGGCGUGCCUAAUACAUGCAAGUCGAACGGAGAAUUUGAUGUAGCAAUACAUUGAAUUUCUUAGUGGCGAACGGGUGAGUAACGCGUUGGUGACCUACCCCAAAGAGCGGGAUAACGGUUUGAAAAGACCGCUAAUACCUCAUGUGAUCAUAUGGAUUAGAAGCCUAAUGAUUAAAGGAGCUUGCUCCGCUUUGGGAGGGGCCAGCGUACCAUCAGCUGGUUGGUAGGGUAAUGGCUUACCAAGGCGACGAUGGUUAGCUGGUCUGAGAGGAUGAUCAGCCACACUGGAACUGAGACACGGUCCAGACUCCUACGGGAGGCAGCAGGUGAGGAAUAUUGCGCAAUGGGGGCAACCCUGACGCAGCAACGCCGCGUGAGUGAGGAAGGUUUUCGGACUGUAAAGCUCUGUCGAGCGGGAAGAAGUGUACCAUGGCUAAUAUCCAUGAUAUUUGACGGUACCGCUAGAGGAGCACCGG
rnacentral:rRNA from 1 species